rnacentral:rRNA from 1 species
AAUGAACGUUGGCGGCAUGGAUUAGGCAUGCAAGUCGAGCGAGAAGUCUUUUUUGCUUGCAUUAAAGAUGGACAGCGGCGAAAGGGAGAGUAACGCGUAGAAAUGUACCCCAAGGUCUGGGAUAGCGGCGGGAAACUGCCAGUAAUACCCGGAUAAUGUCUCCGGACCAAAGUUUUUCGCCUUGGGAGCAGUCUGCGUACUAUUAGCUUGUGUGGGUAAAGCCUACAGGCUGAGAUGGUAGCGGGCUGAGAGCGUGGCCCGUUCACUGGGACUGAGACACUGCCCAGACGUCUACGGACG